rnacentral:lncRNA from 1 species
GGAAAAGGUGCCCAGAGUUGCAGACUGUGGUGGUUCUCCUGGAACCUAUCCUGGAUAUCACACUAGUUCUGGACUGUUGAAAGACCCAAAUAUCGGAAGUAUACUUUGAAAAGCAUAAGAAAAAAAUGCAAACACAAGGAAAAAAGAGUUUCUCAGAGUGUGAUCUGCUGAACAUCACCCAGCAACGAGACCUAGCUUGUGCCGACAGCUACAGACCACACUGCUUCUGACCUCUGAGACUACACAGACAGAGGAAGAAUCUUUGCAAGCAUUGUGAUCCUGG